GACGAACGCUGGCGGCGUGCCUAAUACAUGCAAGUUGAGCGCUGAAGGUUGGUACUUGUGCCAACUGGAUGAGCAGCGAACGGGUGAGUAACGCGUGGGGAAUCUGCCUUUGAGCGGGGGACAACAUGUGGAAACGAAUGCUAAUACCGCAUAAAAACUUGAAACACAAGGUGUAAGUGUGAAAGAUGCAAUUGCAUCACUGAAAGGUGAUCCCGCGUUGUAUUAGCUAGGUGGUGAGGUAAAGGCGCACCAAGGCGAUGAUACAUAGCCGACGUGAGAGGGUGAUCGGCCGCAUUGGGACUGUGACACGGCCCAAAGUCCUACGGGAGGCAGCAGGAGGGAAUCGUCGGCAAUGGACGAAAGUCUGACCGAGCAACGCCGCGGGAGUGAAGAAGGUUGUCGGGUCGUAAAACUCUGUUGGUAGAGAAGAACGUUGGUGAGAGUGGAAAGCUCAUCAAGUGACGGUAACUACUCAGAAAGGGACGGCUAACUACGUG
rnacentral:rRNA from 1 species